rnacentral:rRNA from 1 species
CAUCACUACGCUAGAUGCAUAUCAAUAAGCGGAGGAAAAGAAACUAACAAGGAUUCCCUUAGUAACGGCGAGUGAAGCGGGAAGAGCUCAAAUUUGAAAUCUUCAAGGUUCUACCUUGACGAAUUGUAGUUUAUAGAAGUGUUUUCUGUUAGUAGAGUGGCAAAAGUUCUUUGGAAUAGGACAUCAUAGAGGGUGAGAAUCCCGUAUUUGGUCAUUCCUCCUAGCGUUGUGAUACACUUUCAACGAGUCGGAUUGUUUGGGAAUGCAGUCCAAAAUGGGUGGUAAAUUUCAUCUAAAGCUAAAUAUUGGCGAGAGACCGAUAGCGAACAAGUACCGUGAGGGAAAGAUGAAAAGAACUUUGAAAAGAGAGUUAAACAGUACGUGAAAUUGUCAAAAGGGAGGCGUUUGACACCAGUGUUGUUUUUUCCGAAAAUCGGUUGCGAAUGUUUUGUUUUUGAGGAGUUAUGACUUCAUCGGCUUGCUUCCUCUCUUUACUGAAACUUUCUUAAUGCACUUUUCGGUUAACAAGUCAACAUCAAUUUCUUUUGUUGUAAAAGGGUAUGAGGAAGGUGGCUUUCUUUUCGGAGAAAGUGUUUAUAGCCUUGUAGCCUCUACAAUCGGAGAGAUAGAGGUCUGCAGCGUAGAUCCUUCGGGGUUAGAUACAGUUUGUGCUAAGUUAUAGCUUUUCAUAGACAACUUGUUGACUAUGUUUAGUCUUGUAGCUUACUCGCAUGACGCUAUUUUACCUACGCUUAGGAUGUUGACGAGACUGUCGAUCUC